AUUGGAGCAUGACGCUACCCUGCAUUUUCUUCUUACGCUCCUUUGAUCCCAUUUGCCGAAUUCUUCCACUCAAAGUCGGGGGAAAAGAGAAGGAAACUUGAGGAUCUACACUGUCCAGCUUUCUCUGAUGAAAUUUCCAGAAGAUUGCGGAUUGGUAGCACGAGGUCUUCUGCUGAGGAUGAGAGUUGGUUAUUGCCAUCGAAUUGGAGCUGUCAUGUAAGCAGUUCUGGUCGAAAUUUUCGAGCCACGAUGGAUAAAACAAAGUCAAAUACAUUCAAGGGAUUCAGAACAUUUUUGGUUGUGGGUUUCAUUGCUUUCCCCAUUUUAGUCAUAGUUACUCUGGUAAACCAAAACUCAAUACCUCAUCUCGUUGAGAAAUCUUCGAAAACUAAUGUGCUGGGUGAAAGAGACCAGAAUGUUUCUACUAAUGUCUGGAAGGAAGCUGAAAAUGUUAGUUUUACUAGAACCCCUCAAGCCAUGGGAGCAAAAGUCCAGAAUGUUACAGGACCAGAGGUAGUCAAGGACAAUAUUUUCGAAGAAAAGGCUUACGAUGGUUUACUGGCCUCAGAAGAAAGCAUUCCCAAAAAGACAACCUCUGAU